rnacentral:rRNA from 1 species
GGGGGAUCUUAGGACCUCUCGCUACAGGGGCGGCCGAUGGCAGAUUAGCUAGUUGGUGGGGUAAAGGCCUACCAAGGCGACGAUCUGUAGCUGGUCUGAGAGGACGACCAGCCACACUGGGACUGAGACACGGCCCAGACUCCUACGGGAGGCAGCAGUGGGGAAUUUUGGACAAUGGGCGCAAGCCUGAUCCAGCAAUGCCGCGUGUGUGAAGAAGGCCUUCGGGUUGUAAAGCACUUUUGUCCGGAAAGAAAACUUCCUGGUUAAUACCCGGGGAGGAUGACGGUACCGGAAGAAUAAGCACCGGCUAACUACGUGCCAGCAGCCGCGGUAAUACGUAGGGUGCAAGCGUUAAUCGGAAUUACUGGGCGUAAAGCGUGCGCAGGCGGUUCGCUAAGACAGAUGUGAAAUCCCCGGGCUUAACCUGGGAACUGCAUUUGUGACUGGC